UACGUAGGGGGCUAGCGUUGUCCGGAAUCAUUGGGCGUAAAGCGCGUGUAGGCGGUCCGGUAAGUCCGCUGUGAAAGUCGGGGGCUCAACCCUCGAAUGCCGGUGGAUACUGUCGGGCUAGAGUGCGGAAGAGGCGAGUGGAAUUCCUGGUGUAGCGGUGAAAUGCGCAGAUAUCAGGAGGAACACCCGUAGCGAAGGCGGCACUCUGGGCCGAUACUGACACUGAGGAGCGAAAGCGUGGGGAGCGAACAGG
rnacentral:rRNA from 1 species